rnacentral:lncRNA from 1 species
CAGACCAGCAGGUGCGGCGCAAGGCCGAGCACGCCGAUCGAUGCAGCGCACAUCAGCAGGACCACGACGCCAUGAGGGUGCAGGAGGUGACCACGCCAAACAGCCGGCCUUCAGGGUAAUAUUCUCGUUACAGUUCCAUCAUGUACGUGAGUUGCAGCAUGUAGGCGGAAUGGUGGAUGUGCAGAAUGUGCCCGUUCGUGCCUCCCUGCCAAGUGCUGUACAUAUUUCCGAGAGUUGCAGCAGUAACCAACCGGAGCAUGUAGAGAUUUGCAGCGAUUGGUAAUUUGGUAGGUUAGUUGGUGGCAGUAAAAAAAUAAUGGACCUUUCUUCAUCAUUUAGAGAAAUGACAUGACCUGUAGAUAUAUGCAUGUGAAUUAGUAAUUUAGUUUUACCAAAUAAGUUGAACAAACUCAUUUUCGAAUUUCAGUCAAGAGGGCUGUCAAUUAUUAAGAUUCACCUUAUUAUUCGCCGAUACAAGAAAGAUAAGAGACCUCAAGUUAGUAAGAUUGACAGUGAACUAGAUUGAGCAAAGUCGUCGAUGUUUACCAUUGACCUCGCCUAAUUUGAAAGACUGCAGUUUAGGAGUCACUCCCUUUUUUUUUGCAUUUGCACACUGUUUUCACAUUAUGUACCUUGGUUCACUUCAACUGAGAAUUGAAGGCCUUUUUGAUGUUGUGCACUUGUCCCAUGUUAGCUUCUGAGAAUUUGAUGGCUGCGACCCGCGAGGCCGAGCACGCCGAUGCAGCGCACAUCAGCAGGACCACGACGCCACGAGGGUACAGGAGGCGACAGCCGGUGUCCAGGGUAACAUUCUCGUUCCAGUUCCAUCAUGUACGUGAGUAGGAUUGUUCCUCCUGUAGGUGGAACGGUGGAUGUGCAGCAUGUGCCUGUUCGUGCCUUCCUGCCAACCACAUACUGUAUUUCCUAGAGGAGCAGUAGUAAUUAACUGGAGCAGAGAUUGGUAGUUUGUCUGGUUAGUUGGUGGCAGUAAAAAAAGAAUGGAGCUUUCUACAUAGUUCAGACAAAUGAAAUGACCUGUAGAUAUAUGCAUCUUAGUUAGUAAUUUAGUUUUACCAAAUAAGUCUAACUAAGUCAUUUUCGAAUUUCAGUCGAGGGCUGUCAGUGAUUAAGAUUCACCUUAUUAUUCCCCAAUAUAAGAAAGAUAGAAAACUUAGAUUGGCAGUGCCUAAUUUGAAAGACCGCUGUGAUUAAGUUGGACUUGUCAAUUUGCAUUUAUUAACUGUAAAAAAUGUUCUUCUCUGCAGACCAAGAAGAAAUUUCUUGAACUGAAACUUUCUAGUCUGG